rnacentral:rRNA from 1 species
GAUGAACGCUGGCGGCGUGCCUAAUACAUGCAAGUCGAGCGAACGGACGAGAAGCUUGCUUCUCUGAUGUUAGCGGCGGACGGGUGAGUAACACGUGGAUAACCUACCUAUAAGACUGGGAUAACUUCGGGAAACCGGAGCUAAUACCGGAUAAUAUUUUGAACCGCAUGGUUCAAAAGUGAAAGACGGUCCUGCUGUCACUUAUAGAUGGAUCCGCGCUGCAUUAGCUAGUUGGUAAGGUAACGGCUUACCAAGGCAACGAUGCAUAGCCGACCUGAGAGGGUGAUCGGCCACACUGGAACUGAGACACGGUCCAGACUCCUACGGGAGGCAGCAGUAGGGAAUCUUCCGCAAUGGGCGAAAGCCUGACGGAGCAACGCCGCGUGAGUGAUGAAGGUCUUCGGAUCGUAAAACUCUGUUAUUAGGGAAGAACAUAUGUGUAAGUAACUGUGCACAUCUUGACGGUACCUAAUCAGAAAGCCACGGCUAAUUACGUG